GAGGAAAGCGGAAUUCCUGGUGUAGAGGUGAAAUUCGUANAUAUCAGGAGGAACACCGAUGGCGAAGGCAGCUUUCUGGACCGAUACUGACGCUGAGGCGCGAAGGCGUGGGUAGCGAACGGGAUUAGAUACCCCGGUAGUCCACGCAGUAAACGAUGUUCACUAGGUGUAGCGGAUAUUAAAAUCUGCUGUGCCGCAGCUAACGCAUUAAGUGCACCGCCUGGGGAUUACGGUCGCAAGACUAAAACUCAAAGGAAUUGACGGGGGCCCGCACAAGCGGUGGAGUAUGUGGUUUAAUUCGACGCAACGCGCAAAACCUUACCUGGGCUUGACAUACCGAUCGUACCUUUUGGAAACAUUUGGG
rnacentral:rRNA from 1 species